rnacentral:rRNA from 1 species
CAACGCCGCGUGAGGGAUGAAGGCCUCUGGGCUGUAAACCUCUUUUAUCAAGGAAGAAGAACUGACGGUACUUGAUGAAUAAGCCACGGCUAAUUCCGUGCCAGCAGCCGCGGUAAUACGGGAGUGGCAAGCGUUAUCCGGAAUUAUUGGGCGUAAAGCGUCCGCAGGCGGUUUUACAAGUCUGUCGUUAAAGCGUGGAGCUCAACUCCAUUUCAGCGGUGGAAACUGUAAGACUCGAGUGUGGUAGGGGCAGAGGGAAUUCCCGGUGUAGCGGUGAAAUGCGUAGAUAU